UUGGAAUGUUAAUUUUGUUGGUGUCUGAGUAGUAUUAGUUACGUUCUUGAAACUUAAAGAAUUUGGCGGUAUCUCAUUCCUUCCAGAGGAAUCUGUCUCGUUAUCGAUAGUCCGCGUUGGACCUUACUUAGUUGCUUUGGUUUGUAUACCGCCGUUUAUUGAUUAUCCUUUUAGGGUUGGUUUAAUUUUCUGGUUUCUUUAUUUUGGAUUUAUUUCAGGUCAAGGUGCAGCUUGUUUCUAAGUGAAUGAUGGAUUACAUUGUUAUUUGUUUAUUGGAUUGUUGAUUUUAAUAUUGGCAUGAAAUUGGAUUUGGUUGUAAUGAUUUGUAGGUUGUUAUUGUGAUAGUUGGUUCUGGGAUAUGC
rnacentral:rRNA from 1 species